GGUAAAAUGGCUGAUUUAAGGCAAUAAAUUGUAAAUUUAUUUAUAAAGAAUUUUCUUUUUUUACCA
rnacentral:tRNA from 1 species